rnacentral:rRNA from 1 species
CCUACGGGGGGCUGCAGUGAGGAAUAUUGGUCAAUGGGCGGAAGCCUGAACCAGCCAAGUAGCGUGCGGGAUGAAGGCCCUACGGGUCGUAAACCGCUUUUGCACGGGGAUAACACCCUCCACUUGUGGAGGUCUGCAGGUACCGUGCGAAUAAGGGCCGGCUAAUUCCGUGCCAGCAGCCGCGGUAAUACGGAAGGCCCGAGCGUUAUCCGGAUUCAUUGGGUUUAAAGGGUGCGUAGGCGGAACAUUAAGUCAGCGGUAAAAUCGAGGGGCUCAACCCCUUUAAGCCGUUGAAACUGGUGAUCUUGAGUGGGCGAGAAGUAUGCGGAAUGCGUGGUGUAGCGGUGAAAUGCAUAGAUAUCACGCAGAACUCCGAUUGCGAAGGCAGCAUACCGGCGCCCGACUGACGCUGAGGCACGAAAGCGUGGGGAUCGAACAGGAUUAGAUACCCUGGUAGUC